GCUAUCCCCUUAUAAUUUUUAUGACAAGGAAUACUGUCGACUACUAUCAUGGGUGUACAUUGAUGGUUGUUCAUAUCACCACAUCGUUGGUAAUGAACGGAGGUUAGUUGCAGGUAUCGGAAUCACCUGGAUAGGUGAUUAUCCUAAUGUAUCUAUUAGAUACAAUAUUGGUCCCAAAAGCAGUCAGAUAGCCGAACACUGUGCAAUAUAUAAGACUAUACAAAUGGCAAUAGAAUAUGGUAUCAAAGAAUUUAUCAUAACUGAUUCCAACUAUGUUCGCAACAGUUUUGUGGACUAUCUGCCUAGCUGUAAACAUAACCAAAUGCCGAAAAGCAAUAACAAACCUGUUAAACACAGUAAAUUGUUUUGUAAAAAUCAAUGAACUGGUUAAGAAAAAUGGUUUAACCAUAUACUGGAAAAAAAAAAACAAAGGCCAUUCUAAAAUACAAGGUUUGACAAGGAAGGUAAUGACUUAGCC